rnacentral:rRNA from 1 species
CCUACGGGUGGCUGCAGUCGAGAAUCUUGGGCAAUGCACGAAAGUGUGACCCAGCGACGCCGCGUGAAGGAUGAAGGCCCUUUGGGUCGUAAACUUCUUUUAUGAGGAAAGAAAAGCCUUUGGGCCUUGACGGUACCUCAUGAAUAAGCCACGGCUAACUACGUGCCAGCAGCCGCGGUAAUACGUAGGUGGCAAGCGUUGUCCGGAUUUACUGGGCGUAAAGCGUAUGCAGGCGGAUGAUUAAGUUUGAAGUGAAAGGUUGCCGCUCAACGGCA